GCUGGGUCUAAAGAGGCCAUUGUAACGAUGGAGCUGUGCCUAUUUAAGCACAUUCACAUUUAUUAGGCACUUCAUUUCCAUUAUUACACUGUAAUAUAUAAUAAAAUAAUUAUAGAAUUCACCAUAAUGUAGAAUCAGUGGGCGUGUUAAGCUUGUUUUCCUGCAACUGGAUGGUCCCACCUGAGCGUGAUGGGAGGAAGUGACAGAUCAAUAGGUAUUAGACUCUCAUUAAGGACAGCGCAACCUAGAUCCCUCACUCGACACCACUCACCUCCUGCUGUGUGGCUCCUUGCGGCUCCAUGGCUCAGGGGUUGGGGACCCCUGCUCAAGUGCAUCAGAAACGACCCUUCUUCCCACACCAGUCUUCACAGUGGUCAAGUGCAGCAACCACUUAGCUCCCAAGGCAUGUGCCUCAGCUGGCAUUUCGUCACAAUCAACAGUAAGUGGUAGCUUGAGUCACUGUGAGGUCACCUACUGGAAAUCACCAGCAUCCCAUUUCCCACUGGCAAAGAGCUCAGCACUGCCCAAAUCCCAUCUGUGUGGGUUUAUCUCCUGGGACCCUUCCUAACAUAUUAGUCAGAGUCCAAUCAGGAAGCAUAAACCACUCAAAAGUUUAAAGUGGUAAAAUUUAAUACAGAGAAUUAUUCAUUAUAACAGGUGAACAGCAUAAUGAGAGAUUGACUAGCACAAAGUAAAGAGAACUCUAGAGAAUAUAGGACUAGCCCAGGCCAGGCACGGUGGCUCAUGCCUGAAAUUCCAGCAAUUUGAGAAGCUAAUGCAGGAGGAUUGCUUAAGGCCAGGAGCUAGAGACCGGUCUGGACAACACAGUGAGACCCUGUCUCUAUCCAAAAGAAGAAAAAAGUUAGCUGGGGGUGGUGGUGCACACUUGUAGUCCCAGCUAUUCGGAAUGCGGAAGUUUGAGCCUGGGAGGUCAAGGCUGCAGUGAGGCAUGAUUAUGCCACUACAGUCCAGCCUGGUGACAGAGCAAGACCCUGUCUCAAAGAACAAAACAACAAUAACCAUUUACAGACAGAAAAGAAAUAGAGCUAAUAAGCUGAGGAAAGAUGUUGAAAUGUGACAAGUAAAGUAAUAUGAGUUCUUUUGUCUAUGUAAAAUAAUCAAACAAAAAAUGACUUACUAAAUUAUAAUACCCUGUGCUGGCAAAGGUGCAGUGAAAUGGGCACUUUUUUAUACUAUGAGGGGUGUUUAAAUUGUGUAUAAGCCUUCCAGGGUAAAGCCUGUCAAUUUUUUAAAAUAAUAGAGACAGGGUCUCACCAUACUGCCAUACUGCCUCCUCCAACUCUUGGCCUCAAGCAAUCCUCCUCUCUUAGCCUCCCAAAGUGCUAAGAUUAUAGCUAGGAGGCACCCAAAACCCUGUCAAUUUACAUCAAGGGUAAUGAGAAUGUCCAUUCACCAUGACUCACAGUAAUCUUACUUCUGGGGAGACAAUUCAAUCUAAACAAAAGGUCAUCUGUACACACACAGUAAAAAUCUGGGAGUAACUGAAGACAGAGUUGGUAAGUGAAAUAAGAAACAGUUAUAAGAAAUUAAACUAUGGUAUCAAUAGGCACCUGGUAAAAGGUCAGUUGAUGUUAGCUGC
rnacentral:lncRNA from 1 species